rnacentral:lncRNA from 1 species
CUUUCGUGACUGAGCCCUUGUCUUUGGGCUCCUUAUAACCUUGCUCCACAAUCUCCCAUAGGUCUUGUCCACCUAGGAAGGUCUUCAUUUGGAUGCUCCAUCGAUCAUAAUUAUCCUUUGUGAGGUGAGGAAACGUGAUGACAUUGUUGGCCAUCAUCUUGUCAAACCAAGCUCUAAUACCAAUUUGUUGGAAAUAGUAUAUAUAUAUAUU